UUGGAAACUACUGCUAAGACUGGAUAGGAGACAAGAAGGCAUCUUCUUGUUUUUAAAAGACCUAGUAAUAGGUAUGCUUAGGGAGGAGCUUGCGUCACAUUAGUUAGUUGGUGGGGUAAAGGCCUACCAAGACUAUGAUGUGUAGCCGGGCUGAGAGGUUGAACGGCCACAUUGGGACUGAGACACGGCCCAAACUCCUACGGGAGGCAGCAGUAGGGAAUUUUCGGCAAUGGAGGAAACUCUGACCGAGCAACGCCGCGUGAACGAUGAAGUAUUUCGGUACGUAAAGUUCUUUUAUUAGGGAAGAAUAAAUGAUGGAAAAAUCAUUCUGACGGUACCUAAUGAAUAAGCCCCGGCUAACUAUGUGCCAGCAGCCGCGGUAAUACAUAGGGGGCAAGCGUUAUCCGGAAUUAUUGGGCGUAAAGGGUGCGUAGGCGGUUAAAUAAGUUUAUGGUCUAAGUGCAAUGCUCAACAUUGUGAUGCUAUAAAAACUGUUUAGCUAGAGUAAGAUAGAGGCAAGUGGAAUUCCAUGUGUAGUGGUAAAAUGCGUAAAUAUAUGGAGGAACACCAGUAGCGAAGGCGGCUUGCUGGGUCUUUACUGACGCUGAGGCACGAAAGCGUGGGGAGCAAACAGGAUUAGAUACCCUGGUAGUCCACGCCGUAAACGAUGAGUACUAAACGUUGGGUAAAACCAGUGUUGAAGUUAACACAUUAAGUACUCCGCCUGAGUAGUACGUACGCAAGUAUGAAACUUAAAGGAAUUGACGGGACUCCGCACAAGCGGUGGAUCAUGUUGUUUAAUUCGAAGGUACCCGAAAAACCUCACCAGGUCUUGACAUGCUUCUGCAAAGCUGUAGAAACACAGUGGAGGUUAUCAGUUGCACAGGUGGUGCAUGGUUGUCGUCAGCUCGUGUCGUGAGAUGUUGGGUUAAGUCCCGCAACGAGCGCAACCCUUAUUGUUAGUUACCAGCACGUAAUGGUGGGGACUUUAGCAAGACUGCCAGUGAUAAAUUGGAGGAAGGUGGGGACGACGUCAAAUCAUCAUGCCCCUUAUGACCUGGGCUACAAACGUGAUACAAUGGCUGUUACAAAGGGUAGCUGAAGCGCAAGUUUUUGGCGAAUCUCAAAAAAACAGUCUCAGUUCGGAUUGAAGUCUGCAACUCGACUUCAUGAAGUUGGAAUCGCUAGUAAUCGCGAAUCAGCAUGUCGCGGUGAAUACGUUCUCGGGGUUUGUACACACCGCCCGUCAAACCACGAAAGUUGGC
rnacentral:rRNA from 1 species